AAGUCGUAACAAGGUUUCCGUAGGUGAACCUGCGGAAGGAUCAUUAAAGAGAUAAAAUAUAUUACACAGUGCAAGAGAAUACGAGUUAUAUAGAGUAACCAAAAUAAAGUUGACAACUUUUAGCAACGGAUCUCUAGGCUCUC
rnacentral:misc_RNA from 1 species